AACGCGAAGAACCUUACCUGGGUUUGACAUGCACAGGACGCCGGUAGAGAUAUCGGUUCCCUUGUGGUCUGUGUGCAGGUGGUGCAUGGCUGUCGUCAGCUCGUGUCGUGAGAUGUUGGGUUAAGUCCCGCAACGAGCGCAACCCUUGUCUCAUGUUGCCAGCGCGUUAUGGCGGGGACUCGUGAGAGACUGCCGGGGUCAACUCGGAGGAAGGUGGGGAUGACGUCAAGUCAUCAUGCCCCUUAUGUCCAGGGCUGCACGCAUGCUACAAUGGCCGGUACAAAGGGCUGCGAUACCGUGAGGUGGAGCGAAUCCCAUAAAGCCGGUCUCAGUUCGGAUCGGGGUCUGCAACUCGACCCCGUGAAGUCGGAGCCGCUAGUAAUCGCAGAUCAGCAAUGCUGCGGUGAAUACGUUCCCGGGUCUUGUACACACCGA
rnacentral:rRNA from 1 species